ACUGGGUCUUUAACUUCGAAGAGUGAGGAAUGCAAUCGCUUAGAAUCAAGUUUGUUCGGGAAGUGUGCGAGCUGAACUAAGAAUGCGAGGCCCCCAGAGUGGACUGGCUAUUUGACUCAACCGGGAAGCGUGGCAGGUCGCUGUAGAUGCAGAUGAAGCAUAUAUAGAUAUAAUGGGGGGUGGGCAUGCCGUCUAGUGUGGGGUUGUUUGUUUAGUUCUGAUACAAACGGUCUACUGCUAACUAGACUUUCAUUUAUGAUAAGUCUCUAGAGGGACUAUAUGCUUUAAGUAUAUGGAAGUUGAGCAAUAACAGGUCUGUGAUGCCUUAUAAGUCAUGAACUACACGCGUGCUACACUGAUAUAUACAACAAGUGCCUAGCUAGAUAUAGUAUGGCAAUCUCGAAUAUAUAUCGUGAUGGGGAUAGAUCUUUGCAAUUAUAGAUCUUGAACGAGGAGAAUUCUUGUAAGGCCCAGCUCCUCACAAUCAUGCAUGAUUAUGUCCUUGCCAUGUACACACCGCCCGUCGCUCCUACCGAUACCGUGUGAUUCCGGUGAACCUGUGGACCCUUAUGGGAAAAAUAAGUAAAUCAUAUCACCUAGAGGAAGGAG
rnacentral:rRNA from 1 species